rnacentral:rRNA from 1 species
UACGGGGGGGGCAAGCGUUGUUCGGAAUUACUGGGCGUAAAGGGCGCGUAGGCGGCCUGUUAAGUCGAACGUGAAAUCCCCGGGCUCAACCCGGGAACUGCGUCCGAUACUGGCAGGCUUAAAUCCGGGAGAGGGAUGCGGAAUUCCAGGUGUAGCGGUGAAAUGCGUAGAUAUCGUAAGGAAGGCCGGUGGCGAAAGCGAGCCUCUGGACAGUUACUGACGCUGAUGCACGAAGGCCAGGGGAGCAAACGGG